UUUCCGUAGGUGAACCUGCGGAAGGAUCAUUGUCGAAACGUUGAGAGAACGAAGCGAAUUGGUGAUCAACUCGUAGUGGGGGCGUGAGGGUCCGGCCGUUGUCGGUAGCCCUCCGCCACCGCAAGCGUGUCUUUCCCAUCUUCCCGCUGCGUGCAGCGGGCAAGGUUGGUCUGCACGAAACUCAACGAACCCUCGACGCGGGCCGCGUCAAGGACUAUGGAAACACGAUAACGGGGCGUGGUCCCAGCUUGGUCUCGCCUCCGCGCGAUGCGCAUGCUGCUCCACGUCCCCAUCGGAACAAAUAACAUGACUCUCGACAACGGAUAUCUAGGCUCUCGCAUCGAUGAAGAACGUAGCGAAAUGCGAUACUUGGUGUGAAUUGCAGAAUCCCGUGAACCAUCGAGUCUUUGAACGCAAGUUGCGCCCGGAGCCGUCAGGCCGAGGGCACGCCUGCCUGGGCGUCGCAUGUGCCUUCGCUCCACCACGCCCAUUUUCUUUGGACGCGUGGUCCGGGAGUUGGAAUUUGGCCGUCCGUGUGUGGAAUCACGGUUGGCUCGAUGUUUGUAUGCUGCGAUGCGUGCGCAUCACGACGGGUGGUGAUCGUUCCGAAUGCCCGUGUACGUCGUGGUCGCCGCGCGGCUCAUCACUUCAUCGCCCAACGGGGUAGCAUGUUCUUGUGCUCUCCCAACCGUACGGACCCCAGGUCAGGCGAGGCCACCCGCUGAGUUUAA
rnacentral:rRNA from 1 species